AUCUUAUUAAGAGUGGUGGAGGGACUGGCCCUUUGAAGCCCGGCAACCUGAAAGAUUUAUAUAAAUUUUUCGUUGGUGCUAAAUCCUGCAAGAUAAUAUCUUGAAAAAUGAGAG
rnacentral:ncRNA from 2 species